AGUAUAAUACCCGCAACUGAUUUUGCAGUUACUGGAGCUCAACGACCUACUUACCCAUAAUCAAAACCUACAAAAGAUUGGGAUAAGCUUGAAGCUCAAGUGAAGAAGGAGGAAAAGGAUGAGAAGCUAGACGGUGAUGCAGCGUUAAACAAGUUUUUCCGGGGCAUUUAUGCCGACGCUGAUGAGGACACAAGAAGAGCCAUGAAAAAAUCUUUCCUAAGAAAAAAUUCCCGUUUAUCUGUAUUAAUUCUAACCCGGAAUAUGCACGCUAAGCCUUCAUAUUAUUUUGCCUAUUUUACAGGUGGAGUCAAAUGGGACAGUGCUCUCCACAAACUGGAAAGAAGUUGGUUCCAAGAAGGUAGAAGGAAGUCCUCCAGAUGGUAUGGAAAUGAAGCAAUGGGAGUACUAAACUCUCUAAUCGAACAUGACUGUAAUUUAGAGUUUGAUUUUUUGUCUGUUGAAAUUUGUGAUCACUUGUUGAGAGACUCCAUUUUAUUAUCUGUUGCUGGUUGUGUUCCAAUGUCUAGAUUUAAUCAUCAUGUACAUUUUCGUUGUUUGCUUUUAUAUUUUAGAGGUUUGGUGUUGAUGUUGAAACUUGAAAUGAAUUUUAAUCUCGUCACUUGUUUGUUGA